rnacentral:lncRNA from 1 species
AAGUGCUUAGGCAGCCGGGAAAGGCCGGUCCCCUUUUUCAGUUCUCUCGCGACCUCUAGCCACUUCCGGUUGCUAACGGUUCCCAAACAGCCCCCGAAAACGCUACGUGAGCUGGGCCCUGGGCCAGAGGCAGAAAACGGACGGAAGAAAAGGUCUGGCCGGAGAUGGGUCUCACUCUGUCACCCAGACUGGAGUGCAGUGAGUGGUGCGAUCAUAGCUUACUGCAGCCUGAAACUCCUGGGCUCAAGUGAUCUUCUCGCCUCAGCCUCCUGAGUAGCUGGAGCUACAGGCCUCUGACAAUAUGAUACUAAGCCAUCAUAGCCCCUGUGACCGCCACGUAUACAUCCAGAUGACCUGGAGCAACUGAAGAACCACAAAAGAUGGCAUUCCACCAUUGAGAUUUGUUCCUGCCCCACCCCAACUAAUCAAUCGACCUUGUGACAUUCCCCCUGCCCCCGACAGUGAGUCUCAUGAUCUCCCCACCCAGCACCUUGGCACCUUGUGACCCCCGCCCCUGCCCACAAGAGAUAACCACCUUUAACUGUAAUUUUCCACUACCUACCCAAAUCCUAUAAAACUGCCCCACCCCUAUCUCCCUUUGCUGACUCUCUUUUUGGACUCAGCCCACUUGCACCCAAGUGAAAUAAACAGCCUUGUUGCUCACACAAAGCCUGUUGGUGGACUCUCUUCACACAGACUCACUUGACAUUUAUAGAACACAAAAUUAAGAAUAGUGAAUAUGAAAAGGUUCACUAAUAAGAAUUUAAACAAAACAAGAAAGAUUUUUAAGAUUGCUAAAGACAAACGAUUUAUAAUAUUCAGUGUUAGGAGGUGUGUGGAUAUACAGGCAUACUUAGUUUUACAUUUUUAGAAGGUAAGACUUAUUUAGAAGGUAAGAAGUUGUCCAUACCCCUUGAUUCAACAACUUAGCUUCUUGGAAUUAUCCAUAUAGAAAUGCUUACAUAAAUGUUUGAACGUAUGUACAAAGAAGCACUAUUUAUUUAAAUUGGGAAACUUGAAUGCCUAACAUUUGGAAUUUAAAUUUUUAUAUGUCUAUUCAUUAAAAUACCACCCAGUUUUUAGAAACUAAGAGAUGCUAAAGGUAUAUUGAGUAAAAUAAAAAGUUACAAAAGAUAUGGUAUGAUUGUUUUUGUGAAAAUUAUUAUCUUAAAAAUGUUGGCCGGGCAAGGUGGCUCACACCUGUAAUCCUAGCACUUUGGGAGGCCGAGGCAGGCGGAUCACGAGGUCAAGAGAUCGAGACCAUCCUGGCCAACACGGUGAAAGCCCAUCUGUACUAAAAAUACAAAAAUUAGCUGGGCAUGGUGGCAUGUGCCUGUUAGUCCCAGCUACUUAGGAGGCUGAGGCAGGAGAAUCACUUGAACCCAGGAGGUAGAAGUUGCAGUGAGCCGAGAUCAUGCCACUGCACUCCAGCCUGGCGACAGAGUGAGACUCUGUCUUAAAAAAAAAAAAAAAAUUCACUAUGAGUAUCAGUUGGGGGUAAACUUAAGGAGAACCUGCAUUUUAUACAUUAUAUAUUUCUGGAACAUUUCAAUUUCUUAUGAAGAUUUGCUACUGGUAUAAAUGGGAAAAGAUAAUUGUUCUUAAAACCCUAUUUAUUCUCCACAACCUAUAAAAAAAUUUUCCUGUUUGGAGAAUUUCAUCAAUAUCUAUUUUCCUCCUCUGAAAUUCUUUGCCUGACAAGUCAAAGAUAAGUAAUGCAUUCACAUAAAUUUAUUAGAAAGAAUAAAUGUCCCCAGCAUCUAGUUUGACAAUAUUUUUUUGUGAAAUGUAUAUCCUUCCAUAGAUAUAUAUACCUUUUGUAGAUACAUACCUUUCAUCUUAAAGGAAUUAUGCCUUGUAAAAGGGUAUAAUUCCUUUAAUAUGAAAAUCAGAUUCAACUUCUGUGUGCUUUUUAAGGGCAAAUAUAAGUGAGCAAAUAAAUUUGUGUGGAUUAUUUAGAAAGUGUAGAUAUAAAUAAUUUUCAAAUAUGCUUUAGAACACUCUCCCACUCUGGGAAGAAAAUUUUAGAAAAAGGAUAACCCCUGCAUUUCUUUCCAUUAGAAGUACAUGAUCAAAAGACAAAGUCCCUUUUUCCCUUGACUGUGACAUAACAUGUCCCUCAUAGGCAACUGAACAGAUAAAAAAUCCAGACGAUGCUUAGUAAUUUCCUGCUUCCCCUUUAGUGCACAGUGUAUUAUCAGUAUGUUUUGCCCUCUUUAUUUAAUAUCUUGCUGAAUUAAAUUAUCUCAUCAGGUUUUUAAGCACAAGCCCAGCCUGCUUUCUGGAUGACACCUGCCACAGGUCAUCCUUCCUGAAUUUCCUAAAUAGCCCAGAAUAUUCUUCAAGCAUGCCCCUGGCUCAUCAUCCAACUUCAGAGAAUCAACUGGCUAGCACCUUGGAGCACCUGCUGUGGUAACGGCUCCUCUGCUAAUGCUUCUGGGAGACACCUUCAUACG